rnacentral:rRNA from 1 species
UGCCAGCCGCCGCGGUAAUACGAAGGGUGCAAGCGUUACUCGGAAUUACUGGGCGUAAAGCGUGCGUAGGUGGUGGCUUAAGUCCGUUGUGAAAGCCCUGGGCUCAACCUGGGAAUUGCAGUGGAUACUGGGUCACUAGAGUGUGGUAGAGGGUGGCGGAAUUCCCGGUGUAGCAGUGAAAUGCGUAGAGAUCGGGAGGAACACCCGUGGCGAAGGCGGCCACCUGGGCCAACACUGACACUGAGGCACGAAAGCGUGGGGAGCAAACAGGAUUAGAUA